CCAGGACCUCCCUGGGUACCAGUGUGGCUGCCGGAGGAGGAAGUUGGCAGCUGCAGUAGCAAGGAUCCUGCUAACCUUGUCUACACAUCUAGCAAGAUGAGAAGGAAUGACAUGGUUAAGUCAUGAAGCGGUGCAAUGUAUUGUCCCCCUCCAGAAUUCAUGGCAAGGAACCACAUUUUUGGGGCUCCCCUCUAUGACAAAUGCUAUGCAGUUGGAAAAGAUGAGGAAAAACCAGAUUAUGGUGCAUUUAUAGAAGGGAAACCAGACGAAGAUGCUCUCGGAGGACAGAGAAUACAGAGAAUACAACACGGUGUUCAGCAAGACUGAGAAAAAUGGGACAAUUUUGGGCUGGCAGCUGCCCAGGCUAGAGAUUCAGGUCCAGCUCCCUCUAGUGGAUGUUUAGCAAAUAAUCUCAUGUGCCUUGUCUUCAAAGGCUUCUGCCAUGGAAAAAGGCUCCCAAUUUUUUUGGUUCAUAGCUUGUCAUCAUAAUCAGAAGUGGGAGUUUCAAGAAGCAAACAUUUUAAUUAUACACACAAACACACACAACACACACACACACAUAUAGAUGGCAGCCUUUAAAAAUAUUCUUGUCAGGACUCUUCAUAUCAAGUGUAAAAUUGUCUUUUUUGUAUUUAGUGAAAUAAUUAUAAUUACUAAACAUUUUUAUAGCAUUUCUGAAAUGUGAAGAUUUAAAAAAAAAAACCAAAAGAGGAAGAAUUUUGGAAGUAAUUCCCAGGAAGCAAAAAACGCUAACAUCAAGAUUAAAAAAUAGAUCAAUAAUUAAAGGGAGAGGAACGUCCCUUCCUCACUUUAAAAUCUGGUAAGAUCAUAAAGGAAGAAAAUAAGAUGGCUUGUCCUUUCCUUCCCAUUAAUUUCUACAUAAUCCCAUUAAUAUUUAAAUCCAUGGACACUUAGCUGUUGUUUUUAAUUAGCUUCUUAAAGUAUUUUAAGAGUUGCCCUAUUUUAUAACUCACAGAAGAAUCCUAGAGAUUACUAAAACACCGGGAAGUUUAUGCCUUUUCAUUAAAUUAUUUCAUCUGAAAAGUUGCUAUUGGACUCCUCCUGAUUUUUGGCUGCCAUGGACUAACGUGGUUUUCCGUCU